UUCGGAGGUACUCGAGUGGCGAACGGGUGAGUAACACGUGGGUAAUCUGCCCUGCACUUCGGGAUAAGCCUGGGAAACUGGGUCUAAUACCGGAUAGGACCUUUUGGCGCAUGCCUUUUGGUGGAAAGCUUUUGCGGUGUGGGAUGGGCCCGCGGCCUAUCAGCUUGUUGGUGGGGUGACGGCCUACCAAGGCGACGACGGGUAGCCGGCCUGAGAGGGUGUCCGGCCACACUGGGACUGAGAUACGGCCCAGACUCCUACGGGAGGCAGCAGUGGGGAAUAUUGCACAAUGGGCGCAAGCCUGAUGCAGCGACGCCGCGUGGGGGAUGACGGCCUUCGGGUUGUAAACCUCUUUCAGCAGGGACGAAGCGCAAGUGACGGUACCUGCAGAAGAAGCACCGGCCAACUACGUGCCAGCAGCCGCGGUAAUACGUAGGGUGCGAGCGUUGUCCGGAAUUACUGGGCGUAAAGAGCUCGUAGGUGGUUUGUCGCGUUGUUCGUGAAAACCGGGGGCUUAACCCUCGGCGUGCGGGCGAUACGGGCAGACUGGAGUACUGCAGGGGAGACUGGAAUUCCUGGUGUAGCGGUGGAAUGCGCAGAUAUCAGGAGGAACACCGGUGGCGAAGGCGGGUCUCUGGGCAGUAACUGACGCUGAGGAGCGAAAGCGUGGGGAGCGAACAGGAUUAGAUACCCUGGUAGUCCACGCCGUAAACGGUGGGUACUAGGUGUGGGUUUCCUUCCUUGGAAUCCGUGCCGUAGCUAACGCAUUAAGUACCCCGCCUGGGGAGUACGGCCGCAAGGCUAAAACUCAAAGGAAUUGACGGGGGCCCGCACAAGCGGCGGAGCAUGUGGAUUAAUUCGAUGCAACGCGAAGAACCUUACCUGGGUUUGACAUGCACAGGACGCCGGCAGAGAUGUCGGUUCCCUUGUGGCCUGUGUGCAGGUGGUGCAUGGCUGUCGUCAGCUCGUGUCGUGAGAUGUUGGGUUAAGUCCCGCAACGAGCGCAACCCUUGUCUCAUGUUGCCAGCGGGUAAUGCCGGGGACUCGUGAGAGACUGCCGGGGUCAACUCGGAGGAAGGUGGGGAUGACGUCAAGUCAUCAUGCCCCUUAUGUCCAGGGCUUCACACAUGCUACAAUGGCCGGUACAAAGGGCUGCGAUGCCGUAAGGUUUAAGCGAAUCCUUUUAAAGCCGGUCUCAGUUCGGAUCGGGGUCUGCAACUCGACCCCGUGAAGUCGGAGUCGCUAGUAAUCGCAGAUCAGCAACGCUGCGGUGAAUACGUUCCCGGGCCUUGUACACACCGCCCGUCACGUCAUGAAAGUCGGUAACACCCGAAGCC
rnacentral:rRNA from 1 species